GACGAACGCUGGCGGCGUGCUUAACACAUGCAAGUCGAACGGUGAAGGGACCGGUUUUUGCUGGUUCUGGAUGAGUGGCGAACGGGUGAGUAACACGUGAGUAACCUGCCCCCUUCUUCUGGAUAACCGCAUGAAAGUGUGGCUAAUACGGGAUAUUCUGCGCCUGCUGCAUGGUGGGUGUGGGAAAGAUAUUGUUUCGGUGGGGGAUGGGCUCGCGGCCUAUCAGCUUGUUGGUGGGGUGAUGGCCUACCAAGGCGGUGACGGGUAGCCGGCCUGAGAGGGUGGACGGUCACACGGGGACUGAGACACGGCCCAGACUCCUACGGGAGGCAGCAGUGGGGAAUAUUGCACAAUGGGCGCAAGCCUGAUGCAGCGACGCCGCGUGAGGGAUGGAGGCCUGCGGGUUGUAAACCUCUUUCGCCAGUGAAGCAGGCCUGUCCCUUUUGUGGGUGGGUUGACGGUAGCUGGAUAAGAAGCGCCGGCUAACUACGUG
rnacentral:rRNA from 1 species